UACGUAGGGUCCAAGCGUUAUCCGGAAUAACUGGGCGUAAAGAGAUGCGUAGGCGGCUCGGUAAGCGGAUAUUGAAAUCGUGAGGCUCAACCUCACAACCGGUAUCCGAACUGCCGUAGCUAGAGUAUGAGAGAGGAAGCUGGAAUUCCCGGUGUAGGAGUGAAAUCCGUAGAUAUCGGGAGGAACACCAAUGGCGAAGGCAGGCUUCUGGCUCAUUACUGACGCUAAGGCUCGAAAGCGUGGGUAGCGAACGGG
rnacentral:misc_RNA from 1 species